rnacentral:rRNA from 1 species
AUUGAACGCUGGCGGCAGGCCUAACACAUGCAAGUCGGACGAGCGGCGGACGGGUGAGUAAUGUAUGGGGAUCUGCCUAAUGUAGGGGGAUAACUACUGGAAACGGUAGCUAAUACCGCAUACCAUCAGAUGAGCCCAUAGUGGAUUAGCUUGGAGGUGGUGUAACGGCUCACCUAGGCGACGAUCCCUAGCUGGUCUGAGAGGAUGAUCAGCCACACUGGGACUGAGACACGGCCCAGACUCCUACGUGAGGCAGCAGUGGGGAAUAUUGCACAAUGGGCGAAAGCCUGAUGCAGCCAUGCCGCGUGUAUGAAGAAGGCUUUCGGGUUGUAAAGGACUUUUGGUAGGGAGGCGUUAUCUACAGAAAAAGCACCGGCUAACUCCGUGCCAGCAGCCGCGGUAAUUC